UACAGAGGUCUCAAGCGUUGUUCGGAUUCAUUGGGCGUAAAGGACGCGUAGGCGGCGCGGGUAGUCAACGGUGAAAGCUUGGGGCUCAACCCCGAGUCGGCCGUCGAUACUCCCGCGCUCGAGCACUGUAGAGGCAGGUGGAAUUCCGGGUGUAGCGGUGGAAUGCGUAGAGAUCCGGAAGAACACCGGUGGCGAAGGCGGCCGUGCUGGGCAGUG
rnacentral:rRNA from 1 species